UCYGGUUGAUCCUGCCRGACCCGACUGCUAUCAGAGUGAGACUAAGCCAUGCGAGUUAACGUAUGAAUAAUACGUGGCACACGGCUCAGUAACACGUAGUCAACAUGCCCAGAGGACGUGGAUAACCUCGGGAAACUGAGGAUAAACCGCGAUAGGCCAUAAUUACUGGAAUGGGUUAUGGCUUAAACCUAUAUGGCCUCUGGAUUGGACUGCGGCCGAUCAGGCUGUUGGUGAGGUAAUGGCCCACCAAACCUGUUACCGGUACGGGCUCUGAGAGGAGGAGCCCGGAGAUGGGCACUGAGACAAGGGCCCAGGCCCUAUGGGGCGCAGCAGGCGCGAAACCUCUGCAAUAGGCGAAAGCCUGACAGGGUUACUCUGAGUGAUUCCCGCUAAGGGGAUCUUUUGGCACCUCUAAAAAUGGUGCAGAAUAAGGGGUGGGCAAGUCUGGUGUCAGCCGCCGCGGUAAUACCAGCACCCCGAGUGGUCGGGACGAUUAUUGGGCCUAAAGCAUCCGUAGCCGGUCAUGCAAGUCCUCCGUUAAAUCCACCUGCUCAACAGAUGGGUUGCGGAGGAUACUACAAGGCUAGGAGGCGGAAGAGGCAAGCGGUACUCAGUGGGUAGGGGUAAAAUCCUCUGAUCCAUUGAAGACCACCAGUGGCGAAGGCGGCUUGCCAAUACGCGCUCGACGGUGAGGGGUGAAAGCUGGGGGAGCAAACCGGAUUAGAUACCCGGGUAGUCCCAGCUGUAAACGAUGCAGACUCGGUGAUGGGCCGGCUUUAUGCCGGCUCAGUGCCGCAGGGAAGCCGUUAAGUCUGCCGCCUGGGGAGUACGGUCGCAAGACUGAAACUUAAAGGAAUUGGCGGGGGAGCACCACAAGGGGUGAAGCCUGCGGUUCAAUUGGABUCAACGCCGGR
rnacentral:rRNA from 1 species